rnacentral:rRNA from 1 species
UACAGAGGGUGCGAGCGUUGUCCGGAAUCACUGGGCGUAAAGGGCGCGUAGGCGGUCCGGUAAGCGCGUGGUGAAAGCUCGGGGCUCAACCCCCGAGUCGGCCGUGCGAACUGCGGGACUGGAGCAGAUCAGAGGCAGGCGGAAUUCCGGGUGUAGCGGUGGAAUGCGCAGAUAUCAGGAGGAACACCAAUAGCGAAGGCAGCUCGCUGGGACGUUACUGACACUGAGGCGCGAAAGCGUGGGGAGCGAACAGG